rnacentral:rRNA from 1 species
GAUGAACGCUGGCGGUAUGCUUAACACAUGCAAGUCGAACGGUGUCUUCGGACAUAGUGGCGGACGGGUGAGGAACGCGUGGUAAUCUAACGAUUGGUGCUGUGCAACGACUGGAAACGUUGGCUAAUACCGGUUAAGCUGAAAAGGGAAAGACUAAUUGCCAAUUUAAGACCUCGCGUCUGAUUAUGUGGUUGGUGGGGUACGAGCCUACCAAGGCUUCGAUCCGUAGCUGGUCUGAGAGGACGCGCCGCCAGACUGGGACUGCGACACGGCCCCGACUCGUACGGGACGCAGCGGUGGGGAAUAUUCUGCAAUGGGGCAUAGCGUGGCGGAGCAAUACCGCGUGAGAGGGGCAGGCUCUUGGGUUGUAAACCUCUUUUCUUUGGGAAGAUAAUGACGGUACCUGAGGAAUAAGCACCGGCUAACUACGUG